CAGCAGCCGCGGUAAUACGGAGGGGGCUAGCGUUAUUCGGAAUUACUGGGCGUAAGGCGCACGUAGGCGGAUCAGAAAGUCAGAGGUGAAAUCCCAGGGCUCAACCUUGGAACUGCCUUUGAAACUCCUGAUCUUGAGGUCGAGAGAGGUGAGUGGAAUUCCGAGUGUAGAGGUGAAAUUCGUAGAUAUUCGGAGGAACACCAGUGGCGAAGGCGGCUCACUGGCUCGAUACUGACGCUGAGGUGCGAAAGCGUGGGGAGCAAACAGGAUUAGAUACCCCCGUAGUCCCUGUCUCUUAUAU
rnacentral:rRNA from 1 species